rnacentral:misc_RNA from 1 species
GCAAAUUUACCAGCACUAUCAUCAUCAUGUCUAUCUAUUGCCAUCACUCCUACUAUAAUCUCAACUAUCACUAUUUUGACCACCACAAUAAAAUCAAUCUUACUACUAUGAUAUGAUCAUUAGCCUUUUUAAAUUUAGAUGUUAGGACCUUCUGACAUAGAAUAUUUCAGCGCUCAAUUUUUUAUUUACUAAAAUUAUUUAGCUCUUAAAAU